UACGUAGGUGGCGAGCGUUGUCCGGAUUUACUGGGCGUAAAGAGCGCGCAGGCGGUCGUUCAAGUCGAGUGUGAAAGCCCCCGGCUCAACUGGGGAGGGUCACUCGAUACUGAUCGACUCGAAGGCAGGAGAGGGAAGCGGAAUUCCCGGUGUAGUGGUGAAAUGCGUAGAUAUCGGGAGGAACACCGGUGGCGAAGGCGGCGUUCUGGACUGCAACUGACACUGAAAAACGAAAGCCAGGGGAGCAAACGGG
rnacentral:rRNA from 1 species